rnacentral:rRNA from 1 species
ACGCUCGACACCUACGGUAGGCAGCAGUGGGGAAUAUUGCACAAUGGGGGAAACCCUGAUGCAGCGACGCCGCGUGAAGGAAGAAGUAUCUCGGUAUGUAAACUUCUAUCAGCAGGGAAGAAAAUGACGGUACCUGACUAAGAAGCCCCGGCUAACUACGUGGCAGCAGCCGCGGUAAUCUGAGCGGGCUGGCAAGGC